GAGUACAACAAGCAUGACAAAGAACCAGCCAAGUAUAUUAAGCAAUGGAGAGGUAUUAAACCCAAAACUGGGGCACCAUACUCCUGUGACAUUGGUUAUGAACGAUUUCUUGGCCCUGAGGUUUUCUUUAAUCCAGAGAUUUAUAGCAGUGACUUCACCACUCCUUUGCCAGCUGUAAUAGACAAGUGCAUUCAGUCUGCACCAAUUGAUACAAGGAGGGCUUUGUAUAAGAAUAUUGUGUUAUCUGGGGGAUCAACCAUGUUCAAGGAC
rnacentral:misc_RNA from 1 species